rnacentral:rRNA from 2 species
GACAGAGGGUGCGAGCGUUGUUCGGAAUUACUGGGCGUAAAGCGCGCGCAGGCGGAUCCUGCAAGUCGGAAGUGAAAUGUGGCUGCUCAACGGCCACGCUGCUUCCGAUACUGCGGAUCUGGGGACCGGUAGAGGCUGGUGGAAUUGCAGGUGUAGCGGUGGAAUGCGUAGAGAUCUGCAAGAACACCCGUGGCGAAGGCGGCCAGCUGGGCCGGAUCCGACGCUGAGGCGCGAAAGCGUGGGGAGCAAACAGG